AUUGAACGCUGGCGGCAGGCCUAACACAUGCAAGUCGAGCGAGCGGCGGACGGGUGAGUAAUGUAUGGGGACUGCCCGAUAGAGGGGGAUAACUACUGGAAACGGAGGCUAAUACCGAAUACUAUCGGAUAACCCAUAUGGGAUUAGCUAGUAGGUGGGGUAAAGGCUCACCUAGGCGACGAUCUCUAGCUGGUCUGAGAGGAUGAUCAGCCACACUGGUACUGAGGGAGGGAGCAGACUCCUACGGAGGCAGCAGUGGGGAAUAUUGCGCAAUGGGGCGGAGCCUGAUGAAGCGGCGUCGCGUGGGGGAUGACGGCCUUCGGGUUGUAAACUCCUUUCACCAUAGACGCGGUAGAUGGAGAAGAAGCACCGGCUAACUACGUGCCAGCAGCCGCGGUAAUUC
rnacentral:rRNA from 1 species